rnacentral:misc_RNA from 1 species
AAGACUAUAGACCUGCGGAGUACCUGCGGAAGGAUCAUUACCGAGUUUACAACUCCCAAACCCAAUGUGAACGUUACCAAACUGUUGCCUCGGCGGGAUCUCUGCCCCGGGUGCGUCGCAGCCCCGGACCAAGGCGCCCGCCGGAGGACCAACCAAAACUCUUUUGUAUACCCCCUCGCGGGUUUUUAUAUAUCUGAGCCAUCUCGGCGCCUCUCGUAGGCGUUUCGAAAAUGAAUCAAA